GACGAACGCUGGCGGCGUGCUUAACACAUGCAAGUCGAACGGAAAGGCCCUGCUUUUGUGGGGUUCUCGAGUGGCGAACGGGUGAGUAACACGUGAGUAACCUGCCCUUGACUUUGUGGUAACUUCAGGAAACUGGGGCUAAUACCGGAUAGGAUCUCCUGCUGCAUGGUGGGGGUUGGAAAGUUUCGGCUGUUGGGGAUGGAUUCGCGGCUUAUCAGCUUGGUGGUUGGGUAGUGGCUUACCAAGGCUUUGACGGGUAGCCGGCCUGGGAGGGUGACCGGCCACGUUGGGCCUGGGAUACGGCCCAGAAUAGUACGGGAGGCAGCAGUGGGGAAUAUUGCACAAUGGGCGGAAGCCUGAUGCAGCAACGCAGCGUGCGGGAUGACGGCAUUCGGGUUGUAAACCGCUUUCGCCUGUGACGAAGCGUGAGUGACGGUAAUGGGUAAAGAAGCACCGGCUAACUACGUG
rnacentral:rRNA from 1 species